rnacentral:lncRNA from 1 species
UUAAUAUAUUAAAUCUGUUUGAACUUUUAUUUUUGAUAAUAUAUUACGGUAGUACUAUUUUUGAUUGCACUCACUAUAAAAUAUCAGACCAUAAUUAAUGUCUUUAUUUUCAUUUAUCAUUAUUAGAGUUUAAUUUGUUAUUAAUUGUAACAUACUCCACGCAAUCUGUUAUGAGGUUGUUACCUCCCUAAUUGUAUAUAUAUACAAUAAUAAAGAGUGUCAAUGGCUCAUAGGUCAUUAGCCCCAAAUACCACUGUGUUCAUUUUCCUCCUACCUCAUUCUUCAUCGUCGACGUCAUGUCUUCAACCUCUGAGGUAAUCUCAUCCAAUAUGGUAUCAGAUGGUGUUGUUGAUCCUACGGUCACAGCUCCGUUGCAUCCUUUGGGUACUCCGAUUCCGACGAAUAUCGUAUCUGUUCCGAUGAUCACUCACCCGAUGGCAACAAUGGGCUACAUCAAUAACACUUCUGCACAUUCAAUUCCUAUACUCAACUACACAGGAAACACCUCAUCAAUAUUAGAGUAUAAACAAUAUCUUGAAUCGGUUGUAAAAUCAGUUUAACAAAUUCAAUUGUGUAUGUUGUACAUAAAUACAUAACAAUAGUCGAAUAUAACACAUAACGAUUACAACAAUCAUUUUGGGAAACUAAGUAAUCGCAAUAUGGUAUCAGUUAUUAGGCGAUCGUUACAGAUUAUUGGCAUUGUUUCGACGAUGAUAAGUGUUGCUGAUCUUCCAGAGAGAGCUCCGUUCAAACCUAUCAAAAUCAAGCACCACCAGGCCGGAAAACUCACCAAUGAUAACUUCUUCACAUGGCAGGUGCAAAUCAAAACUCUUCUAAAGGGAUAUAAUCUUCUUUCAUACGUGGAUGAAUGGAUCGUGCUUGAUAACGAUCCGAAAAUUCAGCAAGAUCAAUUGCUUUUGGAGUAGAUCUCCUCCACACUUCACACCGGCGUCUUAGCAUAAAUCGCAAGCGUCCAAACUUCUGUCGAGGCUUGGACAUAGCUAUAGCAGUUGCAUGCGUCGUUUUUGGGUUCUAGGGUGUUGCAGAUCCGGAAGCAACUUCAAAUAAUAAAGAAUUGGGAUCUCUUAAUCGAUGCCUAUUUAAUCAAAAUCCCAAGGUUAGUGGAUACCUUGAGGACGGCCGGAGUAAGUGUUUCAAGAGGAGAAAUCAUAUUGUAUAUUCUUGGGGAAUUGGAUACUGACUACGAAGCUAUAGUUGCGGUAAUUUCAUCUCAAUUAGAGAUGAUUACUCUUCCAACAAUACACACGCUUCUCACAAAUCAAGAAAUUCGAAACUCAAAGGUUAGGAACUCUCAGUCGGCUUUUUCAAUUAAUGCAAGUAAUUACAACUCUAAACGAGAUCGGGAGACGAGGUUGGUAUAUCAAAUAUGCGACACAGACACAUCGCAAUUUCCUUUCACAACAAGCAUAACGAAUCUCUUUAUCCAACGCCUCCGGAGCAUAGAGCGCGUCAGAAAGCUCAGAUGACCAAACCUAUGCACUGUGAGACUAAAGACAGUCAAUCAAAGCACGAACCUUGAUAAUAAAAUCUGUCAUCAACUCAGCAUCAGUCUUCUCAAGAUUACGAAGUUGAUCCCUAAUUGAUUGUGAAUUGUAAGACUUGCGAGAAGAUAAGUGUGUUUCCAACAUCUUCCAACAAUCCGCAGCAGUUUUGUGAUUCAUAACUAGAGAAAACAUGGAAGCGUCUUCUGACGCUUGAAUCCACCCUAAAACAACACAGUUCUUCUCUUUCCAAGUGGUAAAUUCUGGAUUGAUCGAACUGUCGGCAUUCUUUUCUGUAGGAGCCGCUUGAGAUCCAUCAACCACAUUUUGAAGAUGAUGAAUUUUCAAAACAUUUAAAAACUGUGCCCUCCAAAAUAGAUAUGUAUCUACACGCUCGAAAGGAACAUGUAUCCAAUGUCCAACCUGUAAUCUAUAGAUACUAUCUGGAAGAGAAGGAGACAAGCUUGAUGUCGACAUCUCAACAGAAAAGAAAACAAAGAGAAGCAAAGAACAAACAAUAAUCCAACAAAAGAACUAAAAUCGAGAAGCACUGAAAAUUAAAUCAACAUUAUAUCACUGAAAUCAGAAUAUAAUAGCAAUGACUUAUAGAGAAAUUUAUAGAUGAUAGUAUUUCCUGAUUAAUAAUUGAAGAGACUUAUACAAAUUUAUUUAAAUGAAUGAAAAUUAUAUAGACUUUAUUCAGACAAAACAAAUCAAAAAUCACAGUUUAGUACACAUUUGUAAUUCUACUAAGUGAAGUAAUCCAGAGAUCCAAUCGGAAAUUAAAAAAAAAACAAAUCAAAUCAAAUUGAAAUCGAAAACUAACACGUAUCUGAAAAUUGAAAUCAAAUCUAACACGUAAUUUGAAAAUUGAAAUCAAAUCUGACAUGUAAAUUGAAAUCAAAUCUCCACGACGAAAUGCAGAAAUAAUACAAGAAGAAAACUAUGCAGAAACGAUGAAAUCACGACGGAAAAACACAAUCGCAAUCCGCGAAAACGAUGCAGAAAUCAAAUUCGUGAUUUCAAAACGAUGAAAUCGAUUUCAAAUCAGUGAUGAAAUCGAUGAAAUCAAAACGAUGCAGAAAUCGAAAAAGAACUCCAAGACGGAACUUGUCAAGAAUCCAGUCGCGACCGUGGCUCGCGAGACGGAACUCGCGAAUCCGAUCGACGACGCUACGAUGAACUAAUCCAAUCGGCAAAUCGGCGAUGAAUAGGACAAAAUUGGCAAAAGAAAUCUGUAGACGACUCUGAAUGAAAUCGGGAAAAAAAAACAAAUCGAUGUCGCUUAUCCAAUCCGCGAUAACACAUGCGAAAUUAGAAACGACGACAGACGAAAUCGGAAGAAAAAAAACGAAAUCAAGAAAUCGAGUUGCUCAAAAGAGGGGAAAAAAAACAAGAAUCGAUUUAAGAACGGAAGCAAGAAUCAAGAUCUAUACCUGCGAUCGAAGGAGAACCCAACUGAUACCAUGUGAGAUUUAUCAAUCCUCGAUGGGAGCGGCAAAUCUGAGAAACCAAUCCUUGUGUUUACCAAAUGUAAAAAUGUAUUAUCGAAAGUGAAAAAGUCAAAUGUAAUUACAGUAUUUAUAUCAAUUAUUAUACUAAUUAACUAAUACACA